GUCAACGUUCGUCUGCACUCGUCUGCAUCAACAGGAUCUGGAUUUGAGACUAAAUGAAGCACAGGUUUCUCCGUGUCGAGUAAAUCCCGUCAUCUCUCUCUGGGAAUGAUCGAGCCCUGAUGGAAAGACGGAGGGAAUCGCUGGACGGGAAGAGAAGCGAUCGUCUCUCACACCUGUCUGAGAUGCUUUACAUCCUUCCAGUGUAAAAUUCAGUAUCUAUAAAAAUAUUGAGAUU